rnacentral:rRNA from 1 species
UGCCUUAGUAACGGCGAGUGAAGCGGCAACAGCUCAAAUUUGAAAGCUGGCCCUUUCAGGGUCCGCAUUGUAAUUUGUAGAGGAUGAUUCGGCGAGGGCUCCCGCCUAAGUCCCCUGGAACGGGGCGUCAUAGAGGGUGAGAAUCCCGUAUGCGGUGGGCUGCCUUAGCCAUGUGAAUCUCCUUCGACGAGUCGAGUUGUUUGGGAAUGCAGCUCUAAAUGGGAGGUAAAUUUCUUCUAAAGCUAAAUACCGGCCAGAGACCGAUAGCGCACAAGUAGAGUGAUCGAAAGAUGAAAAGCACUUUGGAAAGAGAGUUAAAAAGUACGUGAAAUUGUUGAAAGGGAAGCGCUUGCAACCAGACUUGUCCGCAGUUGCUCAGCCGGUCUCCUGACCGGCGUACUCUUCUGCGGCCAGGCCAGCAUCAGUUCGGGCGGUCGGAUAAAGACCUCGGGAAUGUAGCUCCUCUCGGGGAGUGUUAUAGCCCGGGGUGGAAUGCGGCCAGCCUGGACUGAGGAUCUCGCUUCGGCAAGGAUGCUGGCGUAAUGGUUGUAAGCGGCCCGUCUUGAAACACGGACCAAGGAGUCUAACAUCUAUGCGAGUGUUUGGGUGUCAAACCCAUACGCGUAAUGAAAGUGAACGGAGGUGGGAACCCGCAAGGGUGCACCAUCGGCCGAUCCUGAUGUCUUCGGAUGGAUUUGAGCAAGAGCAUAGCUGUUGGGACCCGAAAGAUGGUGAACUAUGCCUGAAUAGGGUGAAGCCAGAGGAAACUCUGGUGGAGGCUCGCAGCGGUUCUGACGUGCAAAUC